rnacentral:other from 1 species
GUGCACUGCCGCGUAGGCAGCUCAGGAA